AUGCCGUGCUCGCCAGGGCCCCGCCGCCGCCCGCCGGCGGCGGUGCCAAUCAGCGCCGUCCUGCUCCGGCAGCUUCGGAUCGCGGCCGGCCAGGGCUCCCCGCGCCGCCUCCUCCUGCGGUCCCUGGCGCUGGUCCUCACCUCCAACCUCUCCUCCACCCACGCCGCCGUUUCCUCCCGCCUCCUCAACUCGCUCCUCCCUCACCUCCCCGCCGGCCGCCUCCACCUCCUCCGCCUCCUGCCCUUCGACCACCUCACCCUCCUCCUCCUCUCCUCCUCCUCCGGCCCCACGCGACCCGCCGUGUCCGCGCUCCACGCGCUCGCCGUCCGCUCCGGCCACCUGCCCGCCGACCUCCGGCUCGCCAACUCGCUCCUGGCGCGCUACCUCGCGCUCGGCUCCCACGCCUCCGCGCGCCGCCUCUUCGCCGACAUCCCGCGCCCCGACGCCGUCACCUGGAACACGCUCCUCCGCGCCUGCCUCCGCUCCGGCCUCCUCCCCUCCGCCCGCCAGCUGUUCGACCAAAUGCCGCAGCGGGACCUCGUUUCCUACAACUCCAUGCUGUCCGGCCACGCCGCGGCCGGGGACAUGGCCGGCGCGCAACAGCUGUUCGAUCAGAUGCCCGAGAGGGACGUGGUCAGCUGGAACUCGAUGCUUGGUGGAUAUACCCGCCUCGGAGACAUGGAGGAAGCCAGGAGGAUGUUCGACGCGAUGCCGGAGAGGGACGUCGUGUCGUGGAACUCGAUGCUGGACGGGUACGCGCAGGCCGGGGACGUCAAGAUGGCGAGGGCCAUGUUCGACGGCAUGCCGAGGAGGAGCGCCGUGUCCUGGAACGUCGUCCUGGCGCUGUACGCGCGGGUGAAGGACUGGCGGGAGUGCCUGAGGCUGUUUGACGCGAUGAUGGCGGUGGGGGCCGCCGUGCCGAACGAGAAGACCUUCGUGAGCGUCCUGACGGCCUGCGGCAGCCUGGGCGACCUCGAGAGGGGGAAGUGGGUGCACGGCCUGGUCCGACAGAGGUGGGAGAGGAUCGUGCCGGACGUCCUCCUGCUCACGGCGCUGCUGACGAUGUACGCCAAGUGCGGGGUGAUGGAGACGGCGAGGGAGAUCUUCGACUCGAUGGGCGAAAGGAGCGUCCCGUCGUGGAACUCGAUGAUCAUCGGCCACGGGCUGCACGGGCAGAGCGAGAAGGCGCUCGAGCUAUUCCUGGAGAUGGAGAGGAGCGGGCCCAGGCCAAACGAGACGACCUUCGUCUGCGUCCUGAGCUCCUGCGCCCACGGCGGGCUGGUGCUCGAGGGCUGGUGGUGCUUUGACAGGAUGGUCAGGCUCUACGGCAUGGAGCCCAAGGCAGAGCACUUUGGCUGCAUGAUGGACCUCCUCGGCCGCGCCGGGCUGCCCACAGGCUCGGAGAACCUCGUCCAGAAUUUACAAGGCAAGGCGUCCCCGGCGUUGUGGGGCGCCAUGGUCUCGGCCUCUCGGGCGCAGAACGGCUCCAGGCUCGGGGAGUUUGUGGGGAAGAAGCUGAUCGAGAUGAAGCCGGCGGAGGUCGGCCCGUACGUGCUGCUCUCGAACAUCUACGCGGCGGAAGGGAGGUGGGACGACGUCGAGAAGGUGAGGGAGAUGAUGAAGCGGGACGGGGCUGAGAAGGACGUGGGGCUGAGCCUUGUGGGAUCGAGCGAACCGGUGACCCGUCUUGGUACUGAAGACGGCGCGGUGGUGAUGUCGAUGCUGGGCGAGAUGGGCGCGCACCUGAAGAAGCCGGCGACCGAACCCCAGGAGCCCAAGUGCAGGGAGGGAAGGGAUGCCACGAGGACCUGUUGUGCGUGA
rnacentral:rRNA from 1 species